CAACCCUCAAGCUAUGCUUGGUAUUGGUGGCAGGCUGCAUGGCCUCCCCCGAAAAAUAGCGGCGGAUAGUUUGGAUUCCCAGCGCAGUGACUUUUUAUACACGCUGAACAGGAUCCCCAGGCUCUCUUGCCGGAUAACAAACAAUUUUUCUUAU
rnacentral:misc_RNA from 1 species